GACAGAGGGUGCAAACGUUGUUCGGAAUUACUGGGCGUAAAGCGCGUGUAGGCUGCUCGGGAAGUCGGGUGUGAAAGCCCUGGGCUCAACCUAGGAAGUGCACUAGAAACUUCCGAGCUGGAGUGCUGGAGAGGAAGGCGGAAUUCUCGGUGUAGAGGUGAAAUUCGUAGAUAUCGUGAGGAACAUCAGUGGCGAAGGCGGCCUUCUGGACAGCGACUGACGCUGAGACGCGAAAGCGUGGGGAGCAAACAGG
rnacentral:rRNA from 1 species